rnacentral:rRNA from 1 species
AUUGAACGCUGGCGGCAGGCCUAACACAUGCAAGUCGAACGAGUGGCGGACGGGUGAGUAAUGUCUGGGAAACUGCCCGAUGGAGGGGGAUAACUACUGGAAACGGUAGCUAAUACCGCAUACCAUCGGAUGUGCCCAGAUGGGAUUAGCUAGUAGGUGGGGUAAUGGCUCACCUAGGCGACGAUCCCUAGCUGGUCUGAGAGGAUGACCAGCCAAACGGGAACUGAGCCACGGGCCAGACUCUAAGGGAGGGAAGAGGUGGGGAAAAUGGCACAAUGGGGGAAAGCCUGUGGCAGCCAUGCGGGGGGGAUGAAGAGGGCUUUCGGGUUGUAAAGUCUUUUCGGGGAGGAGGCGUUACUCGCAGAGGAAGCACCGGCAAACCCCGGGCCAGCCGCGGCGGUAAUA